AUGGAGCAACGCCGCGUGAGUGAAGAAGGCUUUCGGGUCGUAAAACUCUGUUGUUGGAGAAGAAUGGUCGGCAGAGUAACUGUUGCCGGCGUGACGGUAUCCAACCAGAAAGCCACGGCUAACUACGUGCCAGCAGCCGCGGUAAUACGUAGGUGGCAAGCGUUAUCCGGAUUUAUUGGGCGUAAAGCGAGCGCAGGCGGUUUUUUAAGUCUGAUGUGAAAGCCCUCGGCUUAACCGAGGAAGCGCAUCGGAAACUGGGAAACUUGAGUGCAGAAGAGGACAGUGGAACUCCAUGUGUAGCGGUGAAAUGCGUAGAUAUAUGGAAGAACACCAGUGGCGAAGGCGGCUGUCUGGUCUGUAACUGACGCUGAGGCUCGAAAGCAUGGGUAGCGAACAGGAUUAGAUACCCUGGUAGUCCAUGCGGUAAACGAUGAAUGCUAGGUGUUGGAGGGUUUCCGCCCUUCAGUGCCGCAGCUAACGCAUUAAGCAUUCCGCCUGGGGAGUACGACCGCAAGGUUGAGACUCAAAGGAAUUGACGGGGGCCCGCACAAGCGGUGGAGCAUGUGGUUUAAUUCGAAGCAACGCGAAGAACCUUACCAGGUCUUGACAUCUUUUGAUCACCUGAGAGAUCAGGUUUCCCCUUCGGGGGCAAAAUGACAGGUGGUGCAUGG
rnacentral:rRNA from 2 species